UGUAUAGCUCAAUCUGUAGAACAUGAGUCUCUUAAUCUCAGGGUUGCGGGUUCGAGUCCCACACUGGGCAAAA